AUUUAAAUUAUACUUCAACUAACUAUUGUAUGCAAAGAACAUUUAGUUAUUAUUAACAGCCAGGCAUUCAUCACUAAUAUGGACUCUGUGUGACGGUGUUCAGUCUCAUUUAUGUAGCACACCAACCCCUGGAAAUACUUUCAGUCAUGCUGGAAGGUAUUUCCUUCUAUCUACCUUGCAGAGACAGCACACAGAAAUCACACUUACAGAGGGCUUAACUCAGCCAACAGCAGCUGUCUUGCCACACAAUUGGACAACAGCCCCAAGGACUGCAUGAGCAGUGUCGGGCAUCAUGAAGGGGUGUGUACCUCUGCCAGCCUGGGCACAUGAUGGCUAUGCGAUCAUAGCACCACCUGGGAGAAGGAAAGCUUUUUAUGAUCCCCCUUCUUUACCAUUUAUGGAAUCUGUCAUCUUUCCCCUAAGGAAAGUUGGAAGCUAUGUGCUUUUCUGUCUCUUACUCUAUUUUUGAGUUUUAUGCAGGAGCACAGGACAACAACUCAGAGAGAUUCAAAACUAUGGCUCUCAUUUGCUCUCACUGGAGACUUGAAAGGCAGGAUUUCAGGCAUGCACUGUGCAAUUUGCUAGGCUAAGGCUGUGUGCUGCUAAAGGGUUUAGCUCUAUCUUUUAGUAGUCACUGUGUGGUCCUAGUAGCAAAAAUAGUUAUGCAGUCUUUCAUUUAUCUGUAGCGUGAAAGUUAUGAAGAGGGUUAUGAAGAGGUAUGGAAAACAGCUGUUUGCUGCUUUCCACUGUUAACAAUCAGAUCCUCUGACAUUCAUGUUUCAAAAGACAUGAUAAGUUACCCAAAGACAGGGCUUUCAGGAGCGAUCACCCACAUGUAAGGGAUUUUCAGGUGAGUUAUUGUUUUGUUGUUUCCUUGAGAUUCAGUAGUUCUUCCCAAGAGCAGCACCAGGAUGAGAUACACAGCGCCUGGUGUAUUUUACUGAAGAAAAUGAAGAGAGGAUUUAGUGAUCCUUAAGGGUCUAGGAUAAUCCCCUGAUCCUAGUAAAUUUAUUUAAAUUGAAUAUAACCCGGGCCAUCUAUUCUUUUUCAAAUAGAUUGUUUUCCGUUUGCCCCCACAGAAAUAAGAGUUUAUAUCUUACCAGAGAAGUCCCAGUGAGCUGUGUUCACUGACUUCAUUUUGUACUCCAGAGUGAAGGCAGCCCAGCAGUCCAUCAGCUGAAAUUCCAGAUCAGCAUCAGAACACCUCAGCGACAAAGUUUCCCCUUUGCCAAGGGGACAGCAUCUGAGAGGUGGCUCAGCAGUUACGUGCACUUGCUGCUUUUGUAGAGGACCUGCGUUUGAUUCCCAGCACCCACGGCAGUAGCUCACAACCACCCCUAACUCCAGCUCCAGAUCAAAUGGCCUCUUCUAGCGUCUGAGGGCACCUGCAUUCACAGGCACAUAUGUGCAGGGUCUAACAGUCCAGCUGGGAGAGAGACAGACAAAGGAAGACUCAAAGCAAUGCAGAAAUCACUAAUGUGCUGGUCUACAGGGUGCCAUGGAAGCAGAGAGAAGAGAACCCAACUUCAGAUACUUCCAGGGGUACCUAGACAAGCUGCUCCUGGCACUGAAUGUGGACACAUCAGUAUCAUAUUCUCUUGAGAGGUGAGAGGACUGGGGAAGGAGUUGCUGACCAUCAGAAAGAAGCUAACCAGACAGGAAGGAUGAGGGGAGACUCAACAGAUGGCAAGACACUCACAAGCUGAAGGUACUGUGUGGAAAAUCCAGAUGCGGUGGGAGCCAAGAUCAAGCCGGUGAAUGUGAGGUCAGAGGAGGUCGUAUUCCUACAUGAGCUGAGGAGGUAUAUUUUUGGCCUAAAAGCAAGCUUGACAAUGCUGUUAGUUCCCCAGAAUGUUUCAGUACAUUCUAAUAAAGAAAAUGCUUCUUGCAUUUGUUUGGAUUAAGUUUUUUUCCUGACAGGUCAGGCACAUUGCUACCACCUACUCAGGAACAGAUUGUGCCAAUACCUAAUAACGGUCCACCCACACGGACUUUUAAAAUCAGUGUGAUUAUGAGACAUUGUAGCUUGUUCAUGUUAGUAAUGAA